CGCAGAGUAGCGCAGUGGAAGCGUGCUGGUGCACAACCUAGAGGUCAAUGAAUCGAGACCACUUUCUGCUA
rnacentral:tRNA from 1 species